UAUUGAUAACAUCAGGAUGAAUUCCCUUUAUCGUCUCUAUGGCAUAUUGUGGAAGGCCAUGCGAGAAUGCUCGAUGAGAUAACAAUGGUGUUGAGAUUGAUAAGUAUGCAUGAUCCGAAUUCAUGUAAGUGAUGAUCCAGGUUCAUUGGCCUUUCACCAUUGCUGACAAAGUAAAAAGAGUUUCAGAAGAAUCUGCUUGAGGGCUGGGGAUGCUCUUUCAAAACAUGCCAUCUUUCUCUCAAUGGCAAUGAGAAGAGAGGUGAAAGGACUUCAAUUCCCAUAUUCUUUUUAUUUAUCUUUUUUAGGUUUUAUGGUUGGCGGUUGAGACCCUUUUGAGUGAAAUGCAAGUUCUGAACAACCAUCAUUUUUA